rnacentral:rRNA from 1 species
GCGCUGGAUUGUGCCAGCAGGCCGCGGUAAUACGGAGGGUGCAAGCGUUACUCGGAAUCACUGGGCGUAAAGAGCGUGUAGGCGGGUUAAUAAGUUGGAAGUGAAAGCCUAUGGCUCAACCAUAGAACUGCUUUCAAAACUGUUAACCUAGAGUGUGGGAGAGGUAGAUGGAAUUUCUGGUGUAGGGGUAAAUCCGUAGAGAUCAGAAGGAAUACCGAUUGCGAAGGCGAUCUACUGGAACAUUAUUGACGCUGAGACGCGAAAGCGUGGGGAGCAAACAGGAUUAGAUACCCUGGUAGUCCACGCCCUAAACGAUGUACACUAGUUGUUGUGAGGCUCGACCUUGCAGUAAUGCAGUUAACACAUUAAGUGUACCGCCUGGGGAGUACGGUCGCAAGAUUAAAACUCAAAGGAAUAGACGGGGACCCGCACAAGCGGUGGAGCAUGUGGUUUAAUUCGACGAUACACGAAGAACCUUACCUGGACUUGACAUAGUAAGAACUUUCUAGAGAUAGAUUGGUGUCUGCUUGCAGAAACUUAUAUACAGGUGCUGCACGGCUGUCGUCAGCUCGUGUCGUGAGAUGUUGGGUUAAGUCCCGCAACGAGCGCAACCCUCGUCAUUAGUUGCUAACAGUUCGGCUGANAACUCUAAUGAGACUGCCUACGCCAGUA